rnacentral:tRNA from 1 species
AACAUAGCUGAGUGGUUGCAAAGCAUUUGCUUUGGGCACCAUUGCUGCUUGUUCGAAU